UUCAGCCAUGAAUGAUUUGUCUUGAUCCCUGCUUAUCAUGUAUUCAAUAUAGUGAUGAACUGCUCUAUGAUAAUAAUUUAAAAAUAAAGCCGGGGUUUUCGCUAAUUUUAUGGAACUAACCAAAAUCUCACGACACUAGCUGAAGACAACCGUGCAACGUAUGUAACAUCACCCUGAUAAAAGUCUAACCACUAAAUACCAUUUACAGAAGUAAAGGGUACAUCUGUUUAGACUUUACCUUUUCUACUUUUGGAGCCAAUAUUUCCAGUCANAGGAUAUUAGUCAAUGGCCUAGCGGCUGAACCAGCAANUNGGGAGAAUGUAUAGUCCUCUUAUGAGGCUAGUAAUGUUUGUUAGAGUUCUAUUAUACAUGAGAUGCUUCAGCAAACAUAAAACCAACUACGUUGGAUAAAGUUCUAGAUAGAAUACUGAUUGUGACAAUUUUCUAUCUACUUGUCUUGACCAAAUUACGUGCCAGCAGUCGCGGUAAUACGUAGAAGACUAGUGUUAUCCAUCUUUAAUAGGUUUAAAGGGUACCUAGACGGCGAUUAUUAACCUUAAAUACGGAUAUAAUUCUUGCUAGAGUUUGAUAAGAGAAGGGGAGUAUUUACGGAGUAGAGAUGAAAUUCGUUGAUACCUUAAGGACUGGCAAUGGCGAAAGCGACCUUUUAUGUAAAAACUGACGUUGAGGGACGGAGGCUUGGAUAGCGAACAGGAUUAGAUACCCUAGUAGUCUUUGCAGAGAAUGAUGAAUGCCAUAGAUUAGAUAAAUUUAGUUUAUAAAUGAAAGUGUAAGCAUUCCACCUCAAGAGUAAUGUGGCAACGCAGGAACUGAAAUCAUUAGACCGUUUCUGAGAACAGUAGUGAAGUAUGUUAUUUAAUUCGGUAAUCCUCGAAAAACCUUACCACAACUUGAAUAGCAUCAUGCCACUACGAAGUAGAAACAAUGAAGAAUUUAUAUAUAUAU
rnacentral:rRNA from 1 species